GUGAGGUGGGUGAUUCUUGGGGGUUAGUACUCACAACUGCAUUGGGUGAGGUGGGUGAAUCUUGGGGGUUAGUACUCACAGUUACAUUGGGUGAGGUGGGUGAUUCUUGGGGGUUAGUACUCACA